GACGAACGCUGGCGGCGUGCCUAAUACAUGCAAGUCGAGCGAGCUUGCCUAGAUGAAUUUGGUGCUUGCACCAAAUGAAACUAGAUACAAGCGAGCGGCGGACGGGUGAGUAACACGUGGGUAACCUGCCCAAGAGACUGGGAUAACACCUGGAAACAGAUGCUAAUACCGGAUAACAACACUAGACGCAUGUCUAGAGUUUAAAAGAUGGUUCUGCUAUCACUCUUGGAUGGACCUGCGGUGCAUUAGCUAGUUGGUAAGGUAACGGCUUACCAAGGCAAUGAUGCAUAGCCGAGUUGAGAGACUGAUCGGCCACAUUGGGACUGAGACACGGCCCAAACUCCUACGGGAGGCAGCAGUAGGGAAUCUUCCACAAUGGACGCAAGUCUGAUGGAGCAACGCCGCGUGAGUGAAGAAGGGUUUCGGCUCGUAAAGCUCUGUUGGUAGUGAAGAAAGAUAGAGGUAGUAACUGGCCUUUAUUAGACGUAAUACUAGAAAGUC
rnacentral:rRNA from 1 species